rnacentral:rRNA from 1 species
CAAGUCGAGGGGCAGCAUGGUCUUAGCUUGCUAAGACUGAUGGCGACCGGCGCACGGGUGCGUAACACGUAUCCAACUUGCCCUGCACACGGGGAUAGCCUUUCGAAAGAAAGAUUAAUACCCGAUGGCAUGUACGGAUGGCAUCAUCCAUACAUUAAAGAGAGAUCGGUGCGGGAUAGGGAUGCGGACGAUUAGCUUGUUGGCGGGGUAACGGCCCACCAAGGCGACGAUCGUUAGGGGUUCUGAGAGGAAGGUCCCCCACACUGGAACUGAGACACGGUCCAGACUCCUACGGGAGGCAGCAGUGAGGAAUAUUGGUCAAUGGGCGAGAGCCUGAACCAGCCAAGUAGCGUGAAGGACGACGGCCCUAUGGGUUUUAAACUUCUUUUGUAUGGGAAUAACGUGCGGUACGCGUACCGCAGUGCAUGUACCAUACGAAUAAGCAUCGGCUAAUUCCGUGCCAGCAGCCGCGGUAAUACGGAAGAUGCGAGCGUUAUCCGGAUUUAUUGGGUUUAAAGGGAGCGUAGGCGGAUUGUUAAGUUCAGCGGUAAAAUGUCAAGGCCCAACCUUGUCGUGCCGUUGAAGCUGGCAGUUCUUGAAUGUACACAAAGGGGGAUGGAAUUCGUCGUGUAGCGGUGAAAUGCUUAGAUAUGACGAAGAACUCCGAUUGCGAAGGCAGUCCCCUGGGGUAUGAUUGACGCUGAGGCUCGAAAGUGCGGGAAUCAAACAGGAUUAGAUACCCUGGUAGUUCCGCACCGUAAACGAUGAAUGCUGGUUUUUGGCGAUA